GGUGAAGAACGUAGCGAAAUGCGAUAAGUAAUGUGAAUUGCAGAAUUCGGUGAAUCAUCGAAUCUUUGAACGCACAUUGCGCCCGCCAGUAUUCUGGCGGGCAUGCCUGUCUGAGCGUCAUUUCAACCCUCAUGCCCCUAGGGCGUGGUGUUGGGGAUCGGCCAAAGCCCGCGAGGGACGGCCGGCCCCUAAAUCUAGUGGCGGACCCGUCGUGGCCUCCUCUGCGAAGUAGUGAUAUUCCGCAUCGGAGAGCGACGAGCCCCUGCCGUUAAACCCCCAACUUUCCAAGGUUGACCUCAGAUCAGGUAGGAAUACCCGCUGAACUUAAGCAUAUCAAUAAGCGGAGGA
rnacentral:misc_RNA from 1 species